rnacentral:rRNA from 1 species
GGACUCGGGGGGAAGUAUGCUCGCAAGAGUGAAACUUAAAGGAAUUGACGGAAGGGCACCACCAGGCGUGGAGCCUGCGGCUUAAUUUGACUCAACACAGCGAAACUUACCAGGUCCAGACAUAGUAAGGAUUGACAGAUUGAAGUUCUUUCUUGAUUCUAUGCAUGGUGGUGCAUGGCCGUUCUUAGUUGGUGGAGUGAUUUGUCUGGUUAAUUCCGAUAACGAACGAGACCUCAGCCAUCUAACUAGCUGGGGCUACCCCGGUAGCCGCUGCUUCGGCAGGCACAGCUUCUUAGAGGGACAACCUGCGCCAGCAGGAGGAAGUUGAGGCAAUAACAGGUCAGUGAUGCCCUUAGAUGCUCUGGGCUGCACGCGCGCUACAAUGACGCAUGCAACGAGCCUCCGAGCCCGAGAGGGCAAGGAAACCUCUAAUGUGCGUCAUGGUUGGGAUAGAUGAUUGCAAUUCUUCAUCUUGAACAAGGAAUGCCUAGUAAACGUAAGUCAUCAACUUGCAUUGAUUACGUCCCUGCCCUUUGUACACACCGCCCGUCGCUCCUACCGAUUGAAUAAUCCAGUGAAUUGAGUGGAUAGGGGCCUGGUUCGCGCCAGGCCCCU